rnacentral:rRNA from 1 species
GGGACACGUGGUAUCCUGUCUGAAUAUGGGGGGACCAUCCUCCAAGGCUAAAUACUCCUGACUGACCGAUAGUGAACCAGUACCGUGAGGGAAAGGCGAAAAGAACCCCGGCGAGGGGAGUGAAAAAGAACCUGAAACCGUGUACGUACAAGCAGUGGGAGCACCUUCGGGUGUGACUGCGUACCUUUUGUAUAAUGGGUCAGCGACUUAUAUUCUGUAGCAAGGUUAACCGUAUAGGGGAGCCGCAGGGAAACCGAGUCUUAACUGGGCGUUAAGUUGCAGGGUAUAGACCCGAAACCCGGUGAUCUAGCCAUGGGCAGGUUGAAGGUUGGGUAACACUAACUGGAGGACCGAACCGACUAAUGUUGAAAAAUUAGCGGAUGACUUGUGGCUGGGGGUGAAAGGCCAAUCAAACCGGGAGAUAGCUGGUUCUCCCCGAAAGCUAUUUAGGUAGCGCCUCGUGAACUCAUCUUCGGGGGUAGAGCACUGUUUCGGCUAGGGGGUCAUCCCGACUUACCAACCCGAUGCAAACUACGAAUACCGAAGAAUGUUAUCACGGGAGACACACGGCGGGUGCUAACGUCCGUCGUGAAGAGGGAAACAACCCAGACCGCCAGCUAAGGUCCCAAAGUCACAGUUAAGUGGGAAACGAUGUGGGAAGGCACAGACAGCCAGGAUGUUGGCUUAGAAGCAGCCAUCAUUUAAAGAAAGCGUAAUAGCUCACUGGUCGAGUCGGCCUGCGCGGAAGAUGUAACGGGGCUAAACUGUGCA